UUUUAUCCAACUUGUCUUUGAAAAUAUAUCUUGGGAACAAGCCUUUGGUGAAGUGAUUUUAUAUUGUGAAAUUGUGAUAUACAAUGGAUUAUGUGUUAUCAAAAUAUGAUAACAUGUAUUAUAUGCAUUGAGUGCUUAUUUGUAUGUUGAUGUGGACCCGGUUAUGUGCGAGUAGGAGUGCACAUAAGCCGUUGUUGACUCGACUAUGUGCGAGUGGGAGUGUGCAUAAGCCGUUGCAUAUAAGAUGAUGAUGCGCGCUAACCUAGAACCCACAAAGGGUGUUGGUCGAUUAAGACAGCAGGACGGUGGUCAUGGAAGUCGAAAUCCGCUAAGGAGUGUGUAACAACUCACUUGCUGAAUCAACUAGCCCCGAAAAUGGAUGGCGUUGAAGGGCUAGACCUAUACCCGGCCGUCGGGGCAAGGGCCAGGCCCCGAUGAGUAGGAGGGCGCUGCGGUCGUAGCGAAACUCGAGGCGCGAGCCUGGGCGGAGCGACUGUCGGUG
rnacentral:ncRNA from 2 species